rnacentral:lncRNA from 1 species
GGUUUUAUAUUAGAUUUUUCUGUUAUAUCAGAGACAUGACAAGUUUGUGCUUUUCUCAAAUAAAGGAUGAUCGUUCCUCUUGAUUGAUUUUUAUGUCAGGUAUGUGGACUCCUCUUGUUUUGUACAUUUAACGCCAUUAGCAUUUUUUACUAACUUUCCCCUGCUUAUCUUUCCAUAAUUUUAUUACAUAUAGUUUGAAAAGCAAUAUCUGAAAAUCAUUGAAAAUCAUUGUUAUUUUUUCAUAGCUUUUGAAAAUCAGGUGCAGAUGUUAAAAGUAUGAAAACACAGAGAUAAUCAUUUUCUUCCAAAUUUCAAUUGCUUAUAUCUUGAAAGCAUGCACACGGACCCUUAUUUUUUCUGUUUUAUUAUUCCCAUUUUUGUGUACUAUCAAUUGAUAACAGUCUUUUAAGGGGCUUGAUAGUUUGAAACAAAGUAGCAAACAUCUUAACGAUUGGCACUGACAGUUUAAAUUGAGUCAUUGAUCAAAAAUGAAAGUCUAUGAAUAGAUAACUGUUGUUGUCACAAUCAAAACUUUUCUCAUUGAAAAUAUAGUGUUUUUGUUGGAAAUUUGAUUUUUGUUGAAUUUAUUCACAACUUUUCAAAGAUCAUAUUUUUAAAAUAUUGUCUUGUAGUUAUCUCAUUUUUCUCAGAAGUGCAAUGCCGUAUUUUUCUCUUUUCCGUUGGUUACCGAUUCAGAUUUAUUUAAACAUUUAUAGUGGAAUUCGAUGUGACUGUCAUACAAGUGAGAGGUUUAGCGCUAUAAAACCAAUCCACCAUUUUUUACAUUUGAAAAUGCCUGUACCAAGUCAGGAAUAUGACAGCUGUUCUACAUUCGUUUGAUGUGUUUUAUCAUUUGAUUUUGCCAUUUGAUUAGGGACUUUCCGUUUUGAAUUUUCCAUUAUAGCUCAAAGUACGGUCUUCAACACGUAACCUUGGCUCACACCGAACAACAAACUAUAACGGGCCCAAAAAUUACUAGUGUAAAACCAUUCAAACGGGAAAACCAACGUUCGCAUAUUUCCAAUACUCAUCGACACAUGUCUAAGGACGGCAGGUAUUUUACCAAGGAUUUUAUGUACCGUACAAAGUGUCCUUGUCUAGCCUUCAAUCGUCCGACAGAUACGAACCAGGACGGGUACUUCAUUAAACGGCGCCCAGGACAAAGGCUAGUUCGUACUGAAACCAACCGUGCAAUGGAAUAUUCUCUUGUUACAAUAUCUAUAAACGACACAUUCAGGCAGUUGUUAUUCAAAAACUUAUUGAAAACACUCAACGGUUGUUUUGGGGUGAGAGAUCCGUUUGCGCCAAAAUUGCGUCCUUUUUCGCCACAACUUUUUUUCUCCAAUGCUACGUUUGCGCCACAUGUUUUAAAAUUACAUCUCAUUUGCGCCAAAAAUAAAACAUACGAUUGCGCCAAUUAAAAGAAAAAUGACUUCCCUAAUUCGAACUUUGAACCGGCAGUUUACACGGCAAAUGUUUCCUUUUCUGAAACAUAUCUUCUUAUUACUGCUGCUGCAAGGGUACUUCCCAAUUUAAUGUAUGUGGUAGCUUGUAACUUCACAUUAUUGUCCAAAAACACAACAUUGAAGGAUGAAAUGCAUAAAACAGUCCAUAAUAAUUCCUAAUAAUAAUAAAGCCCAUACGCAUGGUGGGAACAAAGCACUGUGUCAUCAACAUAUGUGGCUAAAACAUAAUCAGCAAAAGCUUCUAUUUUCUUCUCUAUUGGCAUAUAUAUAUAUAUAUCUUUAUUAAAUAUUCAGCAAAGCAAUAAGUUUUAUUCUCUCUCUGUACAUUGACUGUCUACUGCAUUUUAAGUCAUUUCACUUCAGAUGCUCAUCUUCAUGGUGAAAAAUCUCCGAACAUAUAUAUGAUACUUUUUUUAGCCAAAAAUAAGAAUAAAUAUAUAUUUAUAAUCAUUCAUUUUUAUGAUAGAUAUCUGUACAGGAAAAUUGGGGCAAAUGAGUUCCAAAGAUUGGCGCAAUUGAUACAUUUGGAAAACAAAAUUUGGCGCAAAAGAUACCCCGGAAAAAACAGUAAUUUGCGCAAAAGGACUGCUGCCGUUUUGGGAAUGGAAAAAGAAAUAUGGUACCCUUGUCUUUCCCCACCGAGCAGUAAACACAAUGACAAAUAGGGACGUCCGUUUGGCUGGGUGAAAUACAUGAAUUAACGACAUGGUCCAGGCCGAAUAUGGACGCUGAAAGACAUGCCCUCUGCAUAAAACGAAUCGAUUGCAAAUUUUAAUACUCAUUGAAAGGUUCGUAUGGAGUUGGUAUAAAGACCAAAUAACUAUUUAUUUUCCACAGUCUUAAUCCUCC